CCUACGGGAGGCAGCAGUGAGGAAUAUUGGUCAAUGGCCGGAAGGCUGAACCAGCCAUGCCGCGUGAAGGUCAGUACCCUAUGGGCGUUAAACUUCUUUUGUGCGGGAGCAAUAAUGGUCACGUGUGGCCAGAAGAGAGUCCCGUACGAAUAAGCAUCGGCUAACUCCGUGUCAGCAGCCGCGGUAAUACGAGGGAUGCAAGCGUUAUCCGGAUUUAUUGGGUUUAAAGGGUGCGUAGGCGGUGAGGUAAGUCAGCGGGGAAAUGCCCGCGCUCAACGUGGGAACUGCCUUUGAAACUGGCAAGCUGGAGUGUGUGAGAGGAUAGUAGAAUUCCAGGUGUAGGAGUGAAAUCCGUAGAUAUCUGGAGGAACAUCAGUGGCGAAGGCGACUAUCUGGCACAUAACUGACGCUGAGGAGCGAAAGCGUGGGUAGCAAACAGGAUUAGAUACCCCUGUAGUC
rnacentral:rRNA from 1 species